rnacentral:tRNA from 1 species
GGAGCGGUAGUUCAGUUGGAUAGAACACCGGCCUGUCACGCCGGGGGUCGCGGGUUCGAGUCCCGUCCGCUCCGCCA